rnacentral:rRNA from 1 species
ACUCCUACGGGAGGCAGCAGUGGGGAAUAUUGCACAAUGGGGGGAAACCCUGAUGCAGCCAUGCCGCGUGUGUGAAGAAGGCCUUCGGGUUGUAAAAGCCAGCUUUCAGUAGGGAGGAAGGUAGUGUAGUUAACACCUGCACUAUUUGACGUUACCUACAGAAGAAGCACCGGCUAACUCCGUGCCAGCAGCCGGCGGUAAUACGGAGGGUGC